GGUCUAACUGCCGACGACCCUGCCCUUGCGUCGCGCGAGUGCCGCUUCUCUAUACAUCUAUCUGCGUCCCUCAAAUAACAAAUCCACGCACAGGUGUUAACUCUUACCGGCUCAAGUGUUAUUUGAAUUUACGAGGAUACGACCGAUUGUUUUUUUAAUGAAAAAUGCAUCGGUUAAGUGGGCUGUCGAACAAUGGAAACGCCAGCUGUCAAGGUAAUUCAGGCGUUUUUAAUAUUGUAAUGUCUUUGCCGAAUAUCUGAGAAGGCCACGGUCGAUUCAAUAAUAAUGCACCGACCGUCGUGCGAGUACCGAAGGUCGGAACCCUUCGUACCUCGUACGAAGGGUUGUUUCGAGCUGCUCAAACAAAUUAUACAAAAAAGUACCCAUUCGAAAAAAUUGUGAUGACCUUGAAAUCGGUGUUUUUCGCAAUCACUGGAAAAAUUCGUUCCUCAUCUUCUGGGUUCAGAGAAAUUGCAAACCUGAAUAGUGAGCUGAAAAUCUAUCGUGGGUUCCAGACGAAAAAUCGAAUGCCUCGUUUAUCCAGAAGCAGUGAGGCUGGAGCUAAAUUCUACAGGACCAAUCUUCGAGAGCAUAACAUUUUCUGGAAAAGUCUCCCACAAUAUUUUUCUAUCUGUAAUAAUGAAGGCCUGAGAGCAGAUUGGAACGAUUUUGCUCGCACGCAACUCCAUUAAACCAGGAUGAUUUUGACCAGCGUCAGUGACUCAACUACCGGAGAUGCCACUUCAUAAAGACAAGUUUUCUGCUUGCUUCCUCUCGAAGGGCUGUACGAGCGUUCCUUGCUUCGAACCACUUCUUCUCGUAACCGUUGCUUCGAUCAACGCCGUCCCAACGAUAGCCCGGA